GACGAACGCUGGCGGCGUGCUUAACACAUGCAAGUCGAACGGAAAGGCCCUGCUUUUGUGGGGUGCUCGAGUGGCGAACGGGCGAGUAACACGUGAGUAACCUGCCCUUGACUUUGGGAUAACUUCAGGAAACUGGGGCUAAUACCGGAUAGGAGCUCCUGCUGCAUGGUGGGGGUUGGAAAGUUUCGGCGGUUGGGGAUAGACUCGCGGCUUAUCAGCUUGUUGGUGGGGUAGUGGCUUACCAAGGCUUUGACGGGUAGCCGGCCUGAGAGGGUGACCGGCCACAUUGGGACUGAGAUACGGCCCAGACUCCUACGGGAGGCAGCAGUGGGGAAUAUUGCACAAUGGGCGGAAGCCUGAUGCAGCAACGCCGCGUGCGGGAUGACGGCCUUCGGGUUGUAAACCGCUUUCGCCUGUGACGAAGCGUGAGUGACGGUAAUGGGUAAAGAAGCACCGGCUAACUACGUG
rnacentral:rRNA from 1 species